GUAGUCUCGCACAGAUGCAUAUCAAUAAGCGGAGGAAAAGAAACUAACAAGGAUUCCCUCAGUAACGGCGAGUGAAGCGGGAAGAGCUCAAAUUUGAAAUCUUGAAAGGUCACCUUUCACGAAUUGUAGUUUAAAGUAGUGUGUUCUGUUACGAUCGUAAUAUAAGUUCUUUGGAAUAGGACAUCACAGAGGGUGAGAAUCCCGUCUAUGAUUGCGAUUUGUAGCUUUGUGAUACACUUUCAAAGAGUCGGGUUGUUUGGGAAUGCAGCCCAAAACGGGAGGUAAAUUUCUUCUAAGGCUAAAUAUUGGCGAGAGACCGAUAGCGAACAAGUACCGUGAGGGAAAGAUGAAAAGAACUUUGAAAAGAGAGUUAAAUAGUACGUGAAAUUGUCAAAAGGGAAGCGUUUAACACCAGUGUUGUUUUCUGAAAAUCAACCUCUGUUAGCUUUAUGCAUGUUUGUUUAGACCUAAUCAGCUAUCUUGCAUGUUCUAUUGUUUGCAGUGGUGCACUUUUCAGUUUACAGGUCAACAUCAGUUUUUUUUACCGUAAAAAAGUUAAAGAAAGGUAGCUCAUGGCUCCGGUCGUGAGUGUUAUAGUCUUUUUCCUAUGCGGUAGGAGAGACUGAGGUCUGCAGUGUAGGCUAUUUGGCUAGAUACUCAGGUGCUAUGUGAUACCAUUUCAUAAACAACUUGUUGAUUAUGUUUUGUCUAUUGCAUACUCGCUUGUACUAUCAUACCUACGCUUAGGAUGUUGAGUCGUAGAGCACGCAG
rnacentral:rRNA from 1 species